AAUGCGAUCAAACAUUUGUAUCCCGUAUUGGUGGCCCCCAAAAUGGCACAUUUUCUGCUCCACUAUUGCACAAUCAUAAAAAUCAUUCACGUCAAUGUUUAUACACUUUCCUAGCAGGACCUGGACAACGAGUUGAAGUCAUUUUUAAAACAUUUAAUCUAAGAGGAAAUCCACCAGACGGUUCGGCCGUUGGUGAAUUACCAUCAUGUGUUCAUGAGUAUAUGGAUAUAUACUCAGAAGUGCAAUCAUCGGAACCAGCAGAACUGAUAAAUUCACCAUUUGGUGGCCGUUAUUGUGGUACAAUACCACCCAGACAACGCAUUUCCAUGUAUCGUGCCAUUGCCAUUUCGUUUUUUACAAAUAAAAAUAUCACCACACCCGAUCUAUUUGAAGGCACAUUUCGUUUUAUAAAUGCAUCGGAAUAUGAAAUUGGUAUACCAAUAGCUGGUUCACCAUGUUCCUAUACAAUAACACCCAGUUUGAGUAUAAAUAAAACGGGCGUUUUAAUAUCGCCCACCUAUCCGGGUGCCUAUCCCAAGGAUAUGUCUUGUACAUAUCAAUUUUUGGGUGAAUCGAAUCAAAGAGUUAGAUUAGAAUUUCGUGAUUUUGAUCUGUUUUUUGGUGGACCACACUGCCCAUUCGAUUAUGUUAAAGUUUAUGAUGGUCCCGACAAUUCAUCAGCAUUAAUUGGUACAUAUUGCGGACAGCAAAGAAAUUUAGUUUUAUAUUCUAGCGAAUCAAGUCUAUUUGUGCAUUUUUUUACCUUGUCACGUACGGCAAAUACUCAAAAUCGUGGUUUUAAAGGAAUUUAUGAAUUUAGUGAAAGUUUUGUUAAAUUAGAUUUUAUACGUGAAAAUGAUGGCAUUCACAUACGUGGCUCAGAAUGUGAUCAAAAGAUAUUGUCGAGAAAGGAAUCAACAGGUUUUGUACUCUCACCAAAUUAUCCUUAUCCUUAUAUACCAAAAACUGUAUGUCGAUAUUUCAUUUAUGGCAUGCAAGAUGCCCAACAUUUGGAACGCGUACGUUUAGAGUUUACAGCAUUUAAUAUACCGCGUGUGGAAAGUAAAGAUAAGGAUAAAGAAACCAACUGCUCCGAUGGUUAUUUGAAAAUCUAUCUCAAGGGCCAGGAAACUGCCGAUGCUUACGAUAAAUUCGAUUAUGAAUUGUGCGGCAAUGAAACUCAACGUGUUGUUAGUGAUGGACCACGCCUAGCGAUGGUUUUCAGUUCGGGCGAGCUAAUGGGUCGUGGCUUUAAAGGCAAAUAUGUUUUUGAAACGGAAUAUAAAAUUCCGGGUACAGCUGCACCCGAUGGCAGUUGUAGUUUUACGUAUGUGAGUUCAUCGAAGAAACGUGGCGAACUGAAUAGCCCCCGCUAUCCAUCCAAUUAUCCGUCGGAUACGAAUUGUUCGUAUUUGUUCUUGGCCGAACCCAAUGAGCAGGUGACAAUUGUAUUUGAUCAUUUUAAAAUUAAGGCGGAUGGCAAUUCAAAUGUUACAGCUGGAGCGUAUGGAUCGAUUAUAUGCUUUGAAGAUUGGUUGGAAAUGUACGUCGUCUAUCGUGAUAACAAUGAUCGUUUUCUUGGUCGUUACUGUGGUAUGACAGCGCCCGGCCCCGUCGAGAGCCCAAGGGGUGCAGUGGGUCUGCGUAUUACAUUGCAUACCGAUCAAGAGAAUGUGGCAAGCGGUUUUAAGGCUCGUUACUUUUUCGAAACUGCUAAAAGUGAAAUAGGCGACUGUGGAGGCAACUUUUCCAAUGAAGAUUCAGGCAUUAUAACCUCACCUAACUAUCCGGCCGGCUAUAAGGCACCCGGUCGUGGUAUGGCUUCAAUGGCAUGCAAUUGGUUGAUGACAGCCAGACCCGGUUAUAAAUUAUCAAUACAUUUCGAACAGUUUUCAUUGGAGGGUGAUCCAGCAAAUCGUGGUUGCCCAGCUGCUGUUUUACGUCUUUGGGUUAAUGUUGACUCCGAUCAGCCGCCUUUGGAAUUGUGUGGCGAAAAGCCACCCAUGGAACAAUGGCAUUAUAUUUCUACGGGACAAACGGCCCGUAUUAGUUUUACCACCAGUGAUAAAACUGUUGGUGCACAGGGCUUCCGUAUUGUAUGGACUGAAAUACAAGACUCUGGACCAGGACCACCAUCUAUAGGUUUGCUGUGCGAGUCCACCUAUCAUUUUCAAUGUGAGGUGGGCUAUUGUAUUUCGGAUAAAUUGCGUUGUGAUGGUGUCAAAAACUGUGGUCCCAAUGAUGAUAGUGACGAAUUGCACUGUGACGGAACAAUUUCAAAUCAUUCAAUAUCAAUAUUAUUACAAAUUAUUAAUUUAGCAAUAUGUCUAAAUAUAUUAAUGUAAUUUUAAUAAAGUUUUUUAAAUUCGAUAUUCUACAUAUUGCUAAUUUAGUAAUUAAUUAACUUUACUUUGAUUAAAUUUCAAAUUCAUUUCAAUAUAAAAACUUGAUCACCACAAUAAAACAAACAAAAAAUGUUUAAAACACGUAUCACAAAAGCGCAAGCGGAGGAUCACGGCGUUCUAAUUAUAACAACACUUCUCGUCGUCUCGUUCCUAAUUUGUCUCCUAUGCAUACUCUAUCACUCCAGAAGAAAACGUAGACAACAACUUCAUCAAAUGGGUUUGCAUCGUAAUGCUCAUUAUGAUUCACAAACUAGUGCUACUGGUUUAAAUUCAAGUCGCCGACAUUUACAAAGUGGUGGUGCCAGUAUUGCUGGCAGUUUGCAUGGCAUUAAUAGUGGCAAUUUAAUAAUACCACCGGCACCACUGCCUCCACGAGCCAUACAUCAACCACCACACAUCUGUAUAUCGGGUUCCAGUCUCGAUCUGGGUCCUGGUAAUUAUCCUGGCAUCAUGAUAAAUGGCGAUUCACUUGAUGACUCAUCCACGACAUCUAAUGAUUCUAUAGGUAGUAUCCCUUUUUUGAAUGAAUGUGAAACAGAUAAUAUGGGACAUAUGAUAGUGCAACAGGUCGAGAAUGUUUAACAAUUAAAUAAAUUUCGAAAAUAUUAUAAAAAAUUUUGAAACUUUAUAAACGCAAAAUGAAAUGAAAAAAACCUAAAAUUCCUAAUAAAAGAAGAGAAGGAAGAAGGAAAGAAAUGUGCACAAAAUUUCGAAAACCGAUUUCCAAAGGCGAAAAAAAAUAUUCAAAACAAAUUUUAGGCUUAGCUGAAUUAUAUAGAAAAUAAAUAAAUAAAAUUGAAAACUAUUUAAUUAAGAAAUUAUGAGAAUGAUAUAAAAAGGCAUACAAACAAACAAACAAAAACAAUUUAAGAAAAUCAUUGAUUUUUUAUUAAGUGAAAUUAUGUAUAAUUAUUAAAAACAUUAUAUACACUGAUAAAGAAAAUAUUAAAAAAGAUAUGUUUUUAGCAUAUAAAUAUUGAAAUAAAAUAUAAAAAUAAUUUUUUUAAAACUAUAAAACAAAUAUAAAAUAAAACAAAUUCAAAAGUUAACAACACCCAAAAGACAAAAUGGAAAAAAUAAUUCAUAAAAAUAGAAUAUUAAACUAAAAUGAUAAACAUUAAAAACCCCCUAAUUCUAUAUAUUUAAAAUAUAAACGAAUUGAUUAAAAAAAAAGAAAACUAAACUAUUAAAUUUAAAAAGCAAAAACACUGGAGUAAAGUAGAGAAUGUUAAAAAUAAAAAAUCCCCCUGAAAAAUUCGUUUAAUUAAGUAAAACAAACAAUUCAAAAUACGUAUUAAAGAAAACAAUUAAAACCUUAAUAAUUAAUAAAAAAAAAAACAAGAUUUGCCAAAACUCCAAAAAUUAAUUGAUUGCAUUAAGGCAAUAUUUAAAAUAAAAUAAUAAUGAAAAUGAAUUGCAAAUAAUAAUGAAAAAAACUUGUUGAUUUUUAUAUUUGAUACAAAAUAAUUAUUCUUAUAUAUUUAGGAAAAAUAAAAUAAGAACGAAGAAAGAAAAAACUUAAAUAAAAAUGAACUUAAACUAAACACACACAACAAAAAUAUAAAUUAAAAUAAUGUUUUUUUAAGAACAAUUUAAAAUCAUUAAUUAACCAUCAAAACAAUAUUAGAAAGUUUCAUACAACAAAAAUUAAAAAUAAUUAAAUUGCAUAAAAUUAAAACAUCUUUUUUACCAUAGUUAAACAACAAUAACAGCAACAAAUAUUUAAAGUACAUUAUAAUAUAAUCAUUUUUAUAUUUACACAUACAUAUACAUAUUUAAAAAAAAUGAAAUAAAUUCAAAAGUUUAUCUAAGGGCUUAACAUUAAAAAAAAAAUAACUAACAAAACUGUUAAACUUAGAACUUUUUAAGUGUUCUUAACUUCUUCUUAAGAAUUCAGAAAAUGUUGUCACAAUUUUUAAAAAAGUUAUUAUUCUGCAGUCUAUAGACAAUUCUAUAGUUCAAACUUUUAACAGUUCUAUAGUCCAAACUCUAGAUAGUUCGUUUUUCCAGUUCCAGAUUAUAAAAAGUUUAAUAAUCGAUGCUAUAGGGACUAUAUACAGUUCUAUAGUCCAAUUUAGAGAAAGUUCUACUUCGAGACAAUUAUAUAUUCAAGGCUAUUAAGAGUUCUAUAGUCGACUUUCUAGAAAGUGUUACAUAUAUUCGAGAAAAUAGGCCAGAUACUAUAUAGACAGUUCCAUAGUUCAAACUAUAGAGAAUUCGGUAGUUGAUACUAAAGACAGUUAUAUAUUCGAGACUGUGAAGAGUUUUAUAGUCAAUACUAUGGAUAGUUUUAUUGUCCAGACUAUAGAAAUUUAAUUGUCCAGACUUUAGAGAGUUCUAUAGUUAAGAAAAUAGAGAGUUCUUAAGUCUCAUUUCUAUAUAUCAGACUCUAUAAACAGUUCUAUACUGAGAGUUUUAUUAUCGAGACAAUAGAGAUUUUAAUAGUUUAGAUACUGUAUUCAGCGACUAUAAAGUUCGAUAGCCGAUACAAUAGGGAACUCUAAAGUCGAGACUAUAGAGACUUUUAUAGUCGAGACUAUAGAGAGUUUUAUAGUCGAGACUAUGGAGAGUUUUGUGGUCUAUAUUUUAGAGAGUUAUACAGUCAAGGCUAGAGAUUAUAGACAAUUCUGUAGUCGAGACUACAGACAAUUUUAUAGUAUAGACUUUUUUGAAGUCGAGACUAUCAAAGUUCGAUAAUAAACACUAUAAAGAGUUCUAUAGUAUAGACAAUAGACAGUUUAAUAGUCGAGACUAUAGAAAGUAGUCGAGAAUAUAUGAGAGUUUUAUAGUCGAUAUUGUAUUGAGCGAUUUAAAGCUCGAUAGCCGAUACAAUAGGGAACUCUAAAGUCGAAACUAUAGAGACUUUUAUAGCCGAGACUAUAGAGUUUUAUAGUCAAUAUUCUUCAGUCGAGUUUAUAGACAAUUCUGAAGUCGAAAAUUAACAAACUUCCAUAAUCGAGAAUAUAGAAAGUUGUAUAGUCAAGACUAUAAAGUUCUAUAGCCUAUACAAUAUAAUCAAGACUAUAGAGAGUCAUACAGUCCUGACUAUAGACAAAUAUAUAGUCCAAAAAUAUUCAAUUUUUGUUACAGACUAUAGACAAAUCUAAAUUAUAAAGACUAUAUAGAAUUCAAACUUACAGACCAUAGAUAGUUUGAUAAUCGAUAUUAUUGCAAGUUCUUUAGUAGUAACUACAGACAGUUAUAUAAUUCUAAAGACAACAUUAUAGUCCAUAAUGUUAACAAGUCAGUAUUCUGGCUGUAUAUAGUUUUAUAGUCCAGACUAUAGACUAAAGUCCAAACUAAACAGUUUUAUAGACUUAACUAUAGAUCAUUCUAGACUAUAGUUCAGACUGUAGUUCUAUAACUUAACCCGAUAUGUAUACUUUAGCCCUUGAUUAAUUCAAGAUUGUUAAAAAGACCCUUUAAAUAAAUACUCUUAAAAAAGUCAUACCGUUUAUAUUAAAAAAAAUCCUGAUAAUAAUCAUCAAACCACCCCCAACCAAUAAAAAAAAUAUGAUUGAUAAAUUUAAAAAAUAAUACACAAUAACGUUUAAAUAAAUAAAAUAAUAAAAAAGAAUUAGUGACUAUCAAAAUUGGAUCUUCCAAAGAAAAAUUAAACAUAAAUCAUAAUAAAAAAACUAAAAACGUUAAAAUAUAAAAAUUCAAAAAAAUUUUAUAAACAAAAAUAUUCUGUUGUUUAAGUUUACGUGAAAAAUUUGAACAUUCGAAGACAUUUAAAGUUGGUUUCAAGUUUUGAAAUGUAAAACAGUUUGAAAAUAAUUUGAGAUUAAUAAUUUAUCAUAAAGAUACAUUAUAUUGAAAACCUCGAUUAUAUUUAUUAAAUUAUAUUUAAUAUAGAAGGUAAAAUAUCAGCUUAUAUUCAACUUAAUCUCCUUUUCAAACAUCAAACAUUUAAUGGUUUUGAAUUUAGAAUUUGAGAAUUAUAUCUCAGCAAUUCGGAAAAUAUGUAGUCUAUCAGAGAAAUGUCUUUAUUUUCAAAUUAUCCACUUCAAAUUAAACUUAAAUCUGAAAUUUAAAAUUACAAUUAGUUUUGAAAAAUCAUCAAUAUUUGAGAAAUUCUAUUUUAUCAUAUUAUCCCCAUUGCUGCAGAGAACUUGCGGUGAACAUUUCAUUCACAAUAGUUGAUUUUGUUUGCAACAGCUGUUCAUUGUUUACAAAAUUCCAUAAUCUUAAUCUUCGAGUAGAUAAUUUUUCUAUAUAGAAAACUGUUGUUUUCUUUGAGGAGACAAAAUUUUGUAUAGAACAUCUGUAAGGACACAAAAUUCUCUAUAAAUAAUAAAAACUAUAAAAAUAUUGUCUUAUUGAUAUCAUUUUAGGAAAAAAGUUGUUGCCACAAUUUUAAGUAGAAUUCGAGCAUUGAGUAGAAAAUGUUUUCUAAGAAAACUUUUGUCUUAAUCUUUAAAAAGACUAAAUUUUCUAAAUAGAAUCUUUUAAGGAGAUAAAACCCCUUUUAGGUGUAGUUCCAGAUUAGUAUUUACAUUUUUCAAUAUUGCUUUUUAAAACAAGAUUUCUUUAAAAAAAAUUUUACGUAAACUUAAAUUUAACAAAUUUUAUAUAAAAUUAUUAUUAUUUUUUUUUUUGUUUCCAACAACUAAAGUAAUAAUUUUAUAAAAAUUAAAAAGAAUAUUUAUUAAAUUUAAAUGUUGGUAGUACUAAUAAUAAAAUACAAAAUUAUAAUAAAAUAAAAGCAAAAACAAAUUACACGUUAUUAAACACUUUUUAUAAAUAUUUUUCCUUUUUUAUAAUUUGCAUAUAUUUUUUUUUUUAAAUUUUAUUCGAAAAAAAAAUAAGAUAGAAAAAGAAAAUAAAGUUAUUGGUUUCAUAGAGCACUUACGUUUUGCAAUAAAAUAAAAAAGAAAAAAAUUAAACAUACAAAAAUAAUAAAUUCAAAUGAUAAAAUAAAAAAAUAAAUAAAAAACAAAUAUUAAAGUUAAAAUUGUUGUUA